rnacentral:rRNA from 1 species
UACGAAGGGACUAGCGUUGUUCGGAAUUACUGGGCGUAAAGCGCGCGUAGGCGGAUCGCUAAGUCAGGGGUGAAAUCCCAGGGCUCAACCCUGGAACUGCCUUUGAUACUGACGAUCUGGAGAUCGGGAGAGGUUGGUGGAAUUCCGAGUGUAGAGGUGAAAUUCGUAGAUAUUCGGAGGAACACCAGAAGCGAAGGCGGCCAAC